CUCUUAUGUUGUCGUCCUAUCCGGUGCUCAGCUACAACCCUUCCCGCUUCGCGAAUCACUUAACAAGUAUAAUAACCAUUACUCCCCUUAUAGUUUAAAUACCUUUUGAAUUCCUGAAGAUAUAUCCAGGAAAAGGAUGAUAUUAUUUCCAUGUACCACUGGUAUCGAUGGACCGGAUCACUGCACUCUACAUCCCACCGUUAAGGUUUAUACUUGUUCUUUUAUGCUCAUCCCAGCAAAAGGAGAAUGCAACACCAGCGUACUACCAAGAGAUAAGUCUCCUGUUACCGUUGUUUAUUAUUUAAUAUCACCGUUUGCUCCAUUUAAUUUUUAUUAUUCUUCCUUUGCAGGUUAUAUAGGUAACUCUUUCUAUCCCUCACACUUUGCCAGCCUCUACAUUAUUCAAAUUCUUUCAGACUACCACCACUCCUCAUCACCUCCGUUUAUUCUUCAGAGGGAAGAUAAUGUAGUAUACACAAUGAUGUCAAUGUGCUUUACUGUCUUAUGUGUGUUACCUCCAGUAUCUAUGGUUAUCCCAAAAUAAUCAACGUAUACUUGAGGACUUGAUCUGUCGCGGUCACCAUCAACAUUGCUGCUUUGGGAUAUGAAUCAUCUAUUGUAUUUAAUUAACCAAGUCAUCAGGAGUUUCCAAUGGGAACUCCUGCCACCGUUUACGAACCGUUACCCAUUUCGAGGCCGAACUAGCAUAUUGCCGCUCUUAACUCUUUAUCUUUAUCUGGAUGGUUCAUCGACUACUAUAGUGUGCAGCAGAUAUUGAUGGUCCAAUCCAGUAAAUUCGGU